AUACAUGUGGGAUCUGUGGAAAUGGCAAAAAUUGUGGUGAAGCUAUGCAAAUGAUGGAAGUUCAGAAAGUGCUGUUUUAAGCCAUGGGUAAUGGUGGAUAAGGUCACCCAAGGAGAGAGUAAGCGUGAGAAGAAAAGAGAGUUGACAUUUGGGUGGCGGGGAAUGGAGAAGAAGAGCCCAUGGAGACUGAGGAAGAGCAGCCAGAAGAAUAGGAGGAGAACCAGGAGAAGAUGGUCUUUGGAGUCCAAAUGAAGAGUUCUGAAAAGGAGGAAGUGGUCAACAGCGUCAAGAUGGUGCACCAUGGACGAUUUUGCCCUGGGAAAUUUCACUGUAGCAGAUUAUGCCUUGUUAGAAGAGUGCCCUUACAUGGAUGAUUGUGUCUUUGCCUCCGAAUUUAUGUCCAAUGAUUAUGUUCGUGUGACUCAACUUUACUGUGAUGGGGUGGGUAGACAGUAUAAAGAUUAUACCCAAAGUGAGGGAAACUUAGAGUUUGACAUCUGCACUAUGUGGUGUAGUAAACCUAUUUCUAUCCUGCAAGAUUACUGUGAUGCCAUUAAAAUACACGUCUUCUGGCCACUUCUGUUUCAACGUCAGCACAGUUCUGUGAUAUCACGGUUGCACCCCUGUGUGGAGGCGAACAGUUCUCAUGCUUCUGAGAUAAGUUUGAAGAAAUUACAACAUCUUGAGUUGAUGGAAGAUAUUGUGGAUUUGGCAAAGAAAGCUGCGAAUGAUUCAUUCUUUAUUGGAGGCUUAUUGAGAAUUGGUUAUAAAAUAGAAAAUAAAAUCUUGGCAAUGGAAGAAGCUUUGAAUUGGGUGAAAUACACAGGCGAUGUAACAAUUUUACCUAGGUUAGGAGCAGUUGACAAUUGUUGGCCUAUGUUAAGUAUUUUCUUUACUGAAUACAAGUAUCACAUUACUAAAGUUGUAACAGAAAACUGCAAUUUGCUUGAAGAAUUUAAAACUCAAAGUUGUGCGGAGUGUCUAGAGCAAGGAGAACUAAUGAAAAUGAAAGGAAAUGAAGAGUUUUCCAAAGAAAGAUUUGAUAUAGCUAUUAUCUAUUACACCAGAGCCAUUGAAUGUAGACCUGAAAAUCACCUUCUUUAUGGUAACCGAGCUCUUUGUUUUCUUCGCACUGGACAAUUUAGAAAUGCACUUGGUGAUGGAAAGAGAGCUAUUAUUCUGAAGAACAAUUGGACAAAGGGUCAUUAUCGUUAUUGUGCUGCUCUUUCUAUGCUGGGGGAGUAUGACUGGGCCCUGCAAGCAAACACAAAAGCUCAAACACUCUGUAAAAAUGACCCUGAGGGAAUCAAGGAUCUAAUUCAGCAGCAUGUAAAGUUACAAAAACAAAUAGAAGACCUGCAAGGUCGAACACCAACUAGGAAUCCAAUUAAAGCCUUCUAUGAAAGCAGGGCCUACAUACCUAGUUUAUCAGCACCUGCAUUUAGUACUUCACUUAACUUUGUGGAGACUGAAAAAAAUUCCAGAAAAACUAACCACGAAAUGGCAAACGGUGGUAAUCAGAAUCCAAAGGUGGCAGAUGAAGCUUUGAAGGUAGAUGAUUGUGACUGUCAUCCUGAAUUUCUGCCACCAUCAGGUCAGCCUCCAAAAUAUAAAGGAAAACAAAAAUCCCGAAACAAUGAAUUGGAGAAGUUCAGUUCUGGUUCACAAGGGAGUUUACCAGUAGAUUUGAAAAACAUCUUGGAGAAACAGUUUUCUAAAUCCUCCAGAGCUGCACACCAGGAUUUUGCUAAUAUAAUGAAAAUGCUGAGAAGCUUAAUCCAGGAUGGUUACACGGCUUUGUUGGAGCAGCGCUGCCGCAGUGCUGCCCAGGCCUUCACAGAGUUGCUCAAUGGUUUAGAUCCUCAAAAAAUAAAGCAACUGAACCUGGCCAUGAUUAACUACGUCUUAGUAGUCUAUGGACUUGCCAUUUCACUCCUUGGAAUAGGACAACCUGAGGAAUUAUCUGAAGCUGAAAACCAGUUUAAGAGGAUGAUUGAACACUACCCCAAUGAGGGACUUGAUUGCUUGGCCUACUGUGGAAUUGGAAAAGUGUAUUUGAAAAAAAACAGGUUUCUAGAAGCUCUUAAUCAUUUCGAGAAAGCAAGAACCUUGAUCUGUCGUCUUCCUGGAGUGUUAACUUGGCCCACAAGUAAUGUGGUUAUUGAAGAGACUCAGCCAGGGAAAAUAAAGAUGCUGUUAGAGAAAUUUAUUGAAGAAUGCAGGUUCCCUCCAGUGCCGGAUGCCAUUUGUUGCUAUCAGAAGUGCCGUGGAUAUUCCAAAAUCCAGAUAUACAUAACUGAUCCAGACUUUAAGGGUUUUAUACGAAUCAGCUGUUGCCAGUACUGUAAAGUAGAAUUCCACAUGAACUGUUGGAAGAAGUUAAAAACAACAACCUUUAAUGAUAAAAUUGACAAGGAUUUUCUGCAAGGAAUUUGUCUUACUCCUGACUGUGAAGGAAUCAUUUCAAAGAUUAUCAUCUUCAGCAGCGGUGGUCAAGUUAAAUGUGAAUUUGAACACAAAGUCAUUAAAGAAAAGGUUCCUCCAAGACCUAUUCUGAAACAGAAAUGUUCUAGCCUAGAGAAGUUAAGGCUGAAAGAAGACAAAAAAUUGAAGCGGAAGAUCCAAAAAAAGGAAGCAAAAAAAUUAGCACAAGAAAGAUUGGAAGAGGACUUAAGGGAAAGUAAUCCACCUAAAAUUGAAGAGCAGAAAGAAACUGUAGACAGUGUUCAGAGUUGCCAGUUCCUUGAUGACAGAAUUCUGCAGUGCAUAAAGCAGUAUGCUGACAAGAUUAAGUCUGGGAUACUGAAUACUUCCAAGCUUCUCAAAGAGUUGCUUUCUUGGAAGGUUUUAACCACAGAAGACUACACAACCUGUUUUUCUAGCAGAAAUUUUCUGAAUGAAGCAGUGGACUAUGUCAUCUGUCAUUUGGUUCAAGAAAAGAAUAGAGUAAAGACAAGGGUGUUUCUGCAUGUUUUGAGUGAACUUAAAGAAGUGGAACCAAAAUUAGCCACAUGGAUCCAAAAACUUAAUAGCUUCGGCUUAGAUGCCACAGGACCUUUUUUUUCUUGUUAUGGGGCCGCUCUUAAGGAGCUUGAUUUUAGCAUCAUGACUUUUCUCUGGAAUGAGAAAUAUGGUCAUAAACUAGGCUCUAUAGAAGGAAAGCAGCUUGAUUAUUUCUGUGAGCCAGCGUCAUUGAAGGAAGCGCGAUGUUUAAUAUGGCUUCUGGAAGAACACAGAGACAAGUUCCCAGCACUGCAUAAUGCUUUGGAUGAAUUCUUUGAUAUAAUGGACAGCCGCUGCACUGUAUUAAGGAAACAGGACAGUGGUGAUGUGCCAUUUAAUUCUACCAAGAUAAAAAACAAAGGCAAGAAAAAGAAGCCAAAAGAUUCAAAGCCUAUGUUAGUUGGGUCUGGAACCACUUCAGUCGCAUCAAAUAAUGAGACUGUCACUUCAGGUGAACACCAUAACAAACACAAUUCAAAUUCUGCGGGCCCAUUUGUAGUGCCUGACCAUCUUCGUCACGAUGUAGAAGAAUUUGAAGCUCUGUAUGAACAGCAUAGUAAUGAAUAUGUUGUCCGUAAUAAGAAGCUGUGGGACAUUAACCCAAAACAAAAAUGUUCAACUCUAUACGAUUAUUUCUCUCAGUUGUUAGAGGAACAUGGUCCCUUGGAAAUGAGUAACAAGAUGUUUUCUGAAGAAUAUGAGUUUUUCCCAGAAGAAACUCGACAGAUACUAGAAAAAGCAGGAGGUUUGAAAUCUUUUCUCCUGGGAUGUCCUCGUUUUGUUGUGAUUGACAACUGUAUUGCAUUGAAGAAAGUUGCGUUACGGCUUAAGAAAAAGAGAAAGAAGAAAAACAUUAAGACAAAAGUAGAAGAAAUUUCGAAAACAGGAGAGUAUUUACGAGUUAAACUACCGCUGAAUCCAACUGCUAGGGAAUUUAAACCAGAUGUGAAAUCCAAACCAGUGUCUGACUUACCUUCAGCACCAGCUUCUGAGGAUGUGAAGCCCCACCUUACAUCUGCUAAUUCUCUCCAGUCACCUUGUGAAGCCAUGAAGCCGAAACUAAUUUCUGAUACUUCUUCCAAAUCAGUUUCUGAGGAUGAGAAGCCCAAAGGGGUGUCUUCUGAUCCUCCAAAACCAGUCUCCGAGGAGACAAGUCACAAGCUUGUCUCCUCUAGUUCUCCCAAACCAGUUAAUGAGGAUGUGAAACCAACCUAUUGGACCCAACCCCAGUUGGUCACAGGAUACUGUACGUAUCUUCCCUUUCGGGGAUUUGACAUUACCCAGACACCACCAGCGUUUAUAAAUGUGUUACCGACUUUGCCCCAGUAUAGCAUUUACACACCUCUGGCCAGAGUUUCUUCUGAAUAUCAGCUGCAAAGAUCAAUACCAGUGGUGCGGUCUUUUGUAGCCAGUGACAUAACAGAAGUGCAUUUUGAGGGCCAUCAUUUCAAUGCUGAGAAUGUCCCUGGUAACCAGAUUGCCUCUGAAACACAGAUCCUUCAGGAAUCUUUGGAAAUAUCAGUAAAGUCACAGUGCAUCACGGGUGGUGCUGAUACAGCCCAAAGUGAGUCUAACAGAAAUGAUGACCACUGUGGAAAUUCUGCCAAGCAGGAAGUAAAUCCAGAAAGCACCGAUGAAGUAACAGAUAUUCCACAUACACAAAUGGUUGCCGUACAGGUGUCUUGGAAUAUAAUGCAUCAAGAAGUCAAUACUGAGCCGUAUGAUCCUUUUGAGGCACAACAGGGGAGUAUUUCACAGAUUGAAAAGGAGUACCAAGUUUUACAAGAGCAGCUUAAGGAAGCAUGUGAAAAUUAUGAGCAGAGAAAUAUCAAGGGCUCAGAAGAAACCAAGGAUUUGGAAGAAAAGUUGAAAAGGCACCUAGAAGAAAACAAGAUCUCCAAGACAGAAUUAGAUUGGUUCCUCAAAGAUUUGGAAAAGGAAGUUAAAAAAUGGGAACACGAGAAAAAAGAAAUCCAUGAGAGACUAAAGGCACUGAAGAAGAAGAUGAAAAAGGUUUUAAAUGCCAGUGAAAUGUAUACCCAGGAAAAUGCCGGAAAGGAAAAGGAAUGUGAAUUACUUCUGGACCAGUCCUUUGAAAUCAGUAAUACAUUUAUGAAUGAGAAAAUGAAAAUAGAAGAGUGUAUAAAGAAAGAGAAAGAGCAUUAUGAAGAGAGUCUUCAAAGGGCUGUGGAUGCAGAGGUAUCUGUGCUCGAAAACUGGAAGGAGAUGGAAAUAUAUAAGUUACAGACCAUGGAGUCACAAGCCGAAGGGUUUCUUAAGAACCUGAAGCUAAUGAGCAGUGAUUCUGCAGCAUAUCCUGUCAUGGAAUCUGACAUACAUUCAUGGGAAUCAUUUCUCUCUAAUGUUAGAGAAGAAAUUGAGAAAGCAAAGUCUCAGUUUGAAGAACAAAUUCAAGCAAUUAAAAAUGGUUCUCGGCUCAGUGAACUUUCUAAAGUGCAGAUUUCUGAGCUUUCGUUUCCUGCCUGUAACACAAUGCAUCCUGAGUUACUUCCAGAGUCCUCGGACCAUGAUGAUCAAGGCCCCUCCACUUCUACAAGUCACAGGACUGGAGAGCGAACAGCAGUUCCCGAGCAGUCAAGUCUGGUCUCUGCUACUGAUGAGCCAGAAGCCGGCCGGCUGCCAGAGUGUGAGAGCGCCGGCCAGGCAGCUCGGUCAGAGCCAAGCCCAGUGGCUGAUCAGAAGUUACCUGUUGCUCCAGGACGUGCCACCCGUUCAAGCCAGUCUCCAAAGAAGCCGUUCAAUAGUAUCAUUGAGCACCUGUCAGUGGUGUUCCCCUGUUACAGCAGCACCGAGCUUGCUGGUUUUAUUAAAAAAGUGAGAAACAAAAACAAGAACUCGCUCUCUGGAUUGAGUAUUGACGAAAUUGUCCAAAGAGUGACAGAACACAUUCUAGAUGAAGAGAAAAAGAAAAAGCCAAAUCCAGGCAAGGGCAGGAGGCCGUCUGAGCCCAGCUCUGCUGCUUCUGUGACCAGGGCCACCCAGGGCCCGCCCUCCAUGGUUGUUGGACCAUCACCCAAAAGCAAGGGGCAGGAGACAGACGACGUCCCUGUGUCCGGUGCAAAUUCCUGUGAAAUAUGCCUGGAAGUAUUCAAAUCCAAAAAUGUACGUGUGCUGAAAUGUGGGCACAAGUUUCACAAAGGGUGCUUCAAGCAAUGGCUUAAGGAGCAGAGCACUUGCCCAGCCUGCCUGGCUCGUGAUCUCCGGUCAGAAGAGUAGCCUGCCCUUCCGGAAGAGGCCCACCCACUAUUCUAGGUAGUUACAAUCCACUAAAGAGUAUAUAUUGUUUGUUGAGUUGCAAGAAUAACAAUAUACUACCUUUGAUAUAAAAAGCAACAUGUGAAGAUUCUUUGCACCGUGUGUCACGGUGCUAAUAAAUGGAAAUCUUUAAUAUAGUUGACAGUAAGUAAUGUCCCAACUCGGACUAGCCACUUAAUAAUCGCCCAAUGGUGGCUGAUAAAGUUAUGUGUAACCACAUCCUUAUAUUGCCGGGGCCGCUGCAGAGGUGCUCUCUGAGGUGGAAGGAAAAUGUGAGUGCCUCAAAGCAGGACUUAAAUUAUAAGCAUCCUUGACCUUUUAAAGUGCCCCUUGUUAAAGUUUUUUGAGAUCAGUAUUCUUAAACCAAUGCCUACAUUUUUCCUUAAAGAUUCUGCAUUUUAAAAAAAUGGGCUUACGCAAACCACAUUUGAAUAGGUUGUAGUUGAUGUUAAAAUAUUGGCUGAUUCAGACCAAAAGAUUCAUUCAGAUCUCCUCUUCAUGUGAUUUUUUUUUUCUUCAUGUGAUUUUGAUUUUUCAUUUCAUUAUUGUAUUUCUCCCCAGUCGAUUUAUAAGUGCUUGUGCUUGUUUUUCAUCUUAAAGACAUAAUGAUUUUUGAAAAUCACACAAAAAACUAAUUAACAUCAGCCAAGACUUUUUUUUAACCCCUAAAAUUGAGUCUCCGCAUCCAUUAUCCCAGCCCCACACCGGGAACUUACUCUGAAUACUUUUCUGUUCUCAUUAGUGAUGUUGUCCCUCUUUAUGAGUUAGACAACAAGUGUUUGGGUGUCUCUGUCUAGCACACAGUGGGCACUUUCCUUAUCCUACCACCAAAAAGAGACACUUGUGUAAUUAGACAGUCCUGAGGUGUCCCUGUUACAAUUGUUCGGUGUUUGACAUUUGUGUAAAGUAAUGCAUGCUCUCUUGUACUGUGGCCUGAGAACAAAACUGUAACUGCAUUAGAAACUGUUAAAAAAUUAGUUCUCUUUAGUGACUUCAUAGGCAGUAGUAGUAAAUACAGAAGCAUGAAUUCUGGACACAUUCCAUUUCUCUCAAACAGGAAGGGUCAAAAAAUGUUUUUCCGUGUGUUCUUGUUACCCCUGGAAGCUCACAGUCCCACGUUCAUGAGCUGAUUUGGUCGCUUCCCUCUGCCUUGGUUCCCUGUGAGUUUUGAUGUCUUAGUGACUUAGUGCAUAGAAGCUUCCUCCAUAUUUUGAAGCAGGUCCCUAAAACAUUGUCUGCACGCUCAGAAUAACUGAGGACUUGUGGAUAUGAAGAUACACAGGGCCCAGUUUGUAGCAGCAGUUACAAAGGGAAAGAAGAGCAGCUGGAGAGAAAGAACGUGUUUUGUACAUAACUUCAAACAAAUACUUGUGAACGUGCCUUACACAUGUCCUGUAAGUGUCGAAAUAAAAAGCAUCCUAAAAUAACAUCAGUUUACUGUCGUGUUUAUCUGCUCUUUGUCAAAUAAUUUAAAGUAUUCUACUUGAAAAUUCAAGACGUCUGUUACGCUGACAUUUUAAAAGGUGACUUCAUUUGGAAAGAAGAGCCGUGGUACGUCUGAGGAGUCUAACCAAGAGGUCUGAGGACGUUUUAGAGCCUGGAUCAAAAACAUCCUUUGUGCCUGUGUAGAGGUCCUCCUCUGCUGAAAACCAAGGAAGGCCCCCUUCUUGCCUCUGGCGACGCCCUGCCUCCAGAGCUUGCAGGUAAACCCAGAGCAGGUGUGCUUCAGGAGGGUCAAAC